ACAUUAAUAAAAAUAAUAAUAAUAAUUAUUAUUAUUAUUUAUAGUUGUUAGAUAAUACAUGAUAACAUUAAAAACCAGUAAUCAAAAGACCAACUUACAAUAAUAUAUUUAAAAACAUGUGUCCACUGACGAUGGAAGUUUUAAGUUACUGCUGUGUAUUACGCGGUCUUUUUCAACACUGAGCGAAGUAAAGAAUGUCAGACUCGCAGUGUAGACCCCACCCUGUUAAAAAAUAACGGAGUAGGAGUUGAGAUUUUACGUCAUCUCUGUCUAUGGAGCUGAAAGGUAUCUGCUUCUGAUGAAUGAACGUAUGUUUUCAGUGCUCACUACAAAUACUCAAUAUUUUUUUAAGAAAGAGUAUUCAUAGAACAAUUAAAUUAUUUAUAGAACUUCCUGUUAGCUUUUCUG